GAGGAAUAUUGGUCAAUGGACGGAAGUCUGAACCAGCCAAGUAGCGUGCAGGAUGACGGCCCUAUGGGUUGUAAACUGCUUUUGUAUGGGGAUAAAGUUAGGGACGUGUCCCUAUUUGCAGGUACCAUACGAAUAAGGACCGGCUAAUUCCGUGCCAGCAGCCGCGGUAAUACGGAAGGUCCAGGCGUUAUCCGGAUUUAUUGGGUUUAAAGGGAGCGUAGGCUGGAGAUUAAGUGUGUUGUGAAAUGUAGACGCUCAACGUCUGACUUGCAGCGCAUACUGGUUUCCUUGAGUACGCACAACGUUGGCGGAAUUCGUCGUGUAGCGGUGAAAUGCUUAGAUAUGACGAAGAACUCCGAUUGCGAAGGCAGCUGACGGGAGCGCAACUGACGCUUAAGCUCGAAGGUGCGGGUAUCAAACAGGAUUAGAUACCCUGGUAGUCCGCACAGUAAACGAUGGAUGCCCGCUGUUGGUACCUGGUAUCAGCGGCUAAGCGAAAGCAUUAAGCAUCCCACCUGGGGAGUACGCCGGCAACGGUG
rnacentral:rRNA from 1 species